rnacentral:rRNA from 1 species
CAGUAGCCGCGGUAAUACGGAGGGGGCUAGCGUUGUUCGGAAUUACUGGGCGUAAAGCGCACGUAGGCGGCUUGGUAAGUUAGAGGUGAAAGCCCGGAGCUCAACUCCGGAAUUGCCUUUAAGACUGCCGAGCUAGUAGGUGAGAGAGGUAAGUGGAAUUCCGAGUGUAGAGGUGAAAUUCGUAGAUAUUCGGAAGAACACCAGUGGCGAAGGCGGCUCACUGGCUCAUUCUAGACGCUGAGGUGCGAAAGCGUGGGGAGCAAACAGGAUUAGAUACCCCUGUAGUCCCUGUCUCUUAUAC